UGUUUUAAAAUAGUAAUUUCAUUUAUUACAUUUUUAUCCAUAGCCUUCGGCACCUAAUUCCUGAAUGUAAGAUGGAACAGUCACCUAAAAGUCUUCCUCAGAAUAACAAUCCAGAAUACAAAUAUUUAAACAUACCGUUGGGGACAGCCACAAAGGCACAUGCCUGUAAUCUCAGCACUUUGGGAGGCUGAGAUGGGAAGAUCACUUGAGCCCAGGAGUUCGAGAUCAGCCCGGGCAACAUGACAAGACCUCAUCUCUACUAAAUUUUU